rnacentral:rRNA from 1 species
AGUCAAUAGAUACCCUGGUAGUCCACGCCGUAAACGAUGAGUACUAGGUGUAGGAGGUAUCGACUCCUUCUGUGCCGCAGUUAACACAAUAAGUACUCCGCCUGGGAAGUACGGUCGCAAGAUUAAAACUCAAAGGAAUUGACGGGGGCCCGCACAAGCAGCGGAGCAUGUGGUUUAANUUCGAAGCAACGCGAAGAACCUUACCUAGACUUGACAUCUCCUGAAUAGCGCAGAGAUGCGUGAAGCCCUUCGGGGGCAGGAAGACAGGUGGUGCAUGGUUGUCGUCAGCUCGUGUCGUGAGAUGUUAGGUUAAGUCCCGCAACGAGCGCAACCCCUAUUAUUAGUUGCUACCAUUAAGUUGAGCACUCUAAUGAGACUGCCCGGGUUAACCGGGAGGAAGGCGGGGAUGACGUCAAAUCAUCAUGCCCCUUAUGUCUAGGGCUACACACGUGCUACAAUGGUGAGAACAACGAGAUGCAAUACCGCGAGGUGGAGCAAAACUUGAAAACUCAUCUCAGUUCGG